rnacentral:rRNA from 1 species
UACGUAGGGGGCAAGCGUUGUCCGGAAUCAUUGGGCGUAAAGCGCGUGUAGGCGGCUGGGCAAGUCCGCUCUGAAAGCCCGAGGCUCAACCUCGGGAGGCGAGUGGAUACUGCUCAGCUCGAGUCCGGAAGAGGAGUGUGGAAUUCCUGGUGUAGCGGUGAAAUGCGCAGAUAUCAGGAAGAACACCGAUGGCGAAGGCAGCUCUCUGGGACGGUACUGACGCUGAGACGCGAAAGCGUGGGGAGCGAACAGG